UGAGGAAUAUUGGGCAAUGGACGAGAGUCUGAACCAGCCAAGUAGCGUGCAGGAUGACGGCCCUAUGGGUUGUAAACUGCUUUUGUUUGGGAAUAAUCGACAUUACGUGUAAUGUUUUGCAUGUACUAUUCGAAUAAGGACCGGCUAAUUCCGUGCCAGCAGCCGCGGUAAUACGGAAGGUCCAGGCGUUAUCCGGCGUUAUUGGGUUUAAUGGGAGUGUAGGCGGUUGGUUAAGCGUGUUGUGAAAUGUAGAUGCUCAACAUCUGACUUGCAGCGCGAACUGGCUGACUUGAGUACACACAACGUAGGCGGAAUUCAUGGUGUAGCGGUGAAAUGCUUAGAUAUCAUGAAGCCCUCCGAUUGCGAAGGCGGCUUACGGGAGUGUUACUGACGCUUAAGGUCGAAGGUGCGGGUAUCGAAAAGA
rnacentral:rRNA from 1 species